rnacentral:rRNA from 1 species
GACGAACGCUGGCGGCGUGCUUAACACAUGCAAGUCGAACGGUGAAGGGACUGGUUUUGCUGGUCCUGGAUGAGUGGCGAACGGGUGAGUAACACGUGAGUAACCUGCCCCCUUCUUCUGGAUAACCGCAUGAAAGUGUGGCUAAUACGGGAUAUUCUGGGUCUGUCGCAUGGUGGGCCUGGGAAAGAUUGCGCCUUUUUUGGUGUUUUUGGUGGGGGAUGGGCUCGCGGCCUAUCAGCUUGUUGGUGGGGUGAUGGCCUACCAAGGCGGUGACGGGUAGCCGGCCUGAGAGGGUGGACGGUCACACUGGGACUGAGACACGGCCCAGACUCCUACGGGAGGCAGCAGUGGGGAAUAGUGCACAAUGGGCGCAAGCCUGAUGCAGCGACGCCGCGUGAGGGAUGGAGGCCGUCGGGUUGUGAACCUCUUUCGCCAGUGAAGCAGGCCUGCCUCUUUUUGUGGGUGGGUUGACGGUAGCUGGAUAAGAAGCGCCGGCUAACUACGUG